UUGUGGAGGAGGACGCCGAAGGUGGGGCUAAUGACUGGGGUGAAGUCGUAACAAGGUAGCCGUACCGGAAGGUGCGGCUGGAUCACCUCCUAACAGGGAGACAACAAAAUGUUUAAUAUUAUUAUUUUGUCACCUUAGGUCGAUCGGUAUCUCACGUUUUUAAUUUAUUAAGAAUUUCAUUUCCUAAGUUUUUCUAGGUCACACCCAUUUUUUUUCCUGGGCCAUUAGCUCAGGUGGUUAGAGCGCACCCCUGAUAAGGGUGAGGUCCCUGGUUCAAGUCCAGGAUGGCCCAUAUCUCUAUGUUGGGGGUAUAGCUCAGUUGGUAGAGCGCCUGCUUUGCAAGCAGGAUGUCAGCGGUUCGAGUCCGCUUACCUCCACUGAUCACCACCUCUUCCAUAAUCGAUAAAAAGGAAAUUUUUUGAGCUGUGAUCAAAUUCUGAAAGAAUCUAGCUUCCUAAUGAAAUCAUUAAGAUGCUGGACUCAUUGAAUUAAUUUCAUUGUUUUCAGAGAACCUUGACAACUGCAUAGAUUAUUUUUAAAGACAAUAAGCAUCUUUAAUGAUGCAGAUUUAUUAUUUGUGCAAAUGCAUUAAUAACAAUUCUAUUAAGCUGAUGCUUCAAUAUUUGAAGUUAUUGGUCAAGCUACAA
rnacentral:misc_RNA from 1 species